rnacentral:rRNA from 1 species
GAUGAACGCUGGCGGCGUGCCUAAUACAUGCAAGUCGAGCGAACAGACGAGGAGCUUGCUCCUCUGACGUUAGCGGCGGACGGGUGAGUAACACGUGGAUAACCUACCUAUAAGACUGGGAUAACUUCGGGAAACCGGAGCUAAUACCGGAUAAUAUAUUGAACCGCAUGGUUCAAUAGUGAAAGACGGUUUUGCUGUCACUUAUAGAUGGAUCCGCGCCGCAUUAGCUAGUUGGUAAGGUAACGGCUUACCAAGGCAACGAUGCGUAGCCGACCUGAGAGGGUGAUCGGCCACACUGGAACUGAGACACGGUCCAGACUCCUACGGGAGGCAGCAGUAGGGAAUCUUCCGCAAUGGGCGAAAGCCUGACGGAGCAACGCCGCGUGAGUGAUGAAGGUCUUCGGAGCGUAAAACUCUGUUAUUAGGGAAGAACAAAUGUGUAAGUAACUAUGCACGUCUUGACGGUACCCAAUCAGAAAGCCACGGCUAACUACGUG